GAGGGUAUAGCUCAGUGCCUAGAGCACAUACUUAGCAUGUACAAGGUCCUGGGUUCAAAUCCCAGUACCUCCA
rnacentral:tRNA from 1 species